UGAGGAAUAUUCCACAAUGGGCGAAAGCCUGAUGGAGCGACGCCGCGUGAAGGAAGAAGGCCUUCGGGUUGUAAACUUCUUUUUUUGAGGAUGACACACAGCCCUUCGGGACUGUUAGGACAGUACUCAAAGAAUAAGCCUCGGCUAACUACGUGCCAGCAGCCGCGGUAAUACGUAGGAGGCGAGCGUUGUCCGGAUUUACUGGGCGUAAAGCGCGCGCAGGCGGCACUUCAAGUACGGUGUGAAAUCUCCCUGCUCAACGGGGAGGGUGCAUUGUAAACUGGAGAGCUAGAGGACGGUAGAGGGGGGUAGAAUUGCUGGUGUAGCGGUGAAAUGCGUAGAGAUCAGCAGGAAUACCCGUGGCGAAGGCGGCCCCCUGGGCCGAACCUGACGCUGAGGCGCGAAGGCUAGGGGAGCGAACGG
rnacentral:rRNA from 1 species